CCUACGGGGGACAGCAGUGGGGAAUAUUGCACAAUGGGGGGAACCCUGAUGCAGCAACGCCGCGUGGGUGAAGAAGUACUUCGGUAUGUAAAGCCCUGUCAGCAGGGAAGAAAAUGACGGUACCUGACCAAGAAGCCCCGGCUAACUACGGGCCAGCAGCCGCGGUAAUACGGAGGGGGCAAGCGUUAUCCGGAUUUACUGGGUGGAAAGGGAGGGUAGACGGCAAGGCAAGUCUGGAGUGAAAGCCCGUGGCUCAACCACGGGACUGCUUUGGAAACUGCGGUGCUGGAGUGCAGUAGGGGUAAGCGGAAUUCCUAGUGUAGCGGUGAAAUGCGUAGAUAUUAGGAGGAACACCGGUGGCGAAGGCGGCUUACUGGACUGUAACUGACGUUGAGGCUCGAAGGUGUGGGGAGCAAACAGGAUUAGAUACCCGUGUAGUC
rnacentral:rRNA from 1 species